GCUCGGGCUCCGGCUCGGGAGAGCGCCAAGCUGCGGAUGAACGAAUCCAGGAUCGGGGUCCGGGGAGUGCGCGGAGGGAGAGCGAGGACGAGGCGGGCCGCGUCCGCGCUCCGCAGGCGCUCGGCCUCCGCGGACUGGCGGGCGGGUAUAGAGCUCGUCCCGCCCCGGCGCGCGGCGGGCCCGGGUUCCCCCUGUGCCUCCACUCCCACCCUCGUCCCCGGUGGGGCGCGGGGACCGGCCCGGAGGGGCUUCGCCGGGCGCACGUUCAGCGUUCGUUCGUUGUAAUGCGCGUCGGUGGAGGAAAACAAAUGGAGUGCAACUUCGUUCUACUCCAGUUCCAGGGAUACUUUCGUUAUUACAGCGUCGUUUUGAAAAUGAUCCGGAAAGGGUUUAUAAAGCUGUCAGACAAAAAGAACGAUGGCAUUUUGAGGGAUAAAGUGCUGAGAGACAUAAGGAACCAGUAAAACCCCGACAACUUGGUUUUAACGUUGGGUGUGUUGUGAUGAAGAAACAAAAAUGGAAGGACUUGGGAGUGAGAAACAUACAUUUGAAUUGGGAAAAACUCUUACGAUCUAUCAACCAUUUGCAAAAGGAUUGGGGUAAACUAUCAUCUUACACGCUUAGACUCUAGGCCGGACCCCCCGGGCACUUUCUGAUUAUGAUUUCUUUCCAUCUUCACAACAGUUCUAGUGUAAGCUCUCUUUAGACUUCACCUCACCCUGACCACCGUUCUUCCCAUGGUGAAGGUUGUGUCCCCCUCUGGAUGCUUCUACACCACCUGUGCUUUCCCCAUCACAGCUCUCAUGCCCUGUAAUGAAUUGCCCACUUAACUAUCUGUAUCCCAGCCUAAGCCCACUGGAGACGACACUAGCUGUCUGCCUUAUUCACCUUCUAUCCCUAUUGCUCAGCAGUGGCUCCACAGAGCUGUUGAACAAGUGAAAUAAAUGGGAAAAUGUAUGUUACUUUCAAGAAAAAAGAGCUAAGAUGAUCCCUUACAGGAGUCUACUUGAAAACAGAAACUGUAACUUUAUAGACAAGGUAUAUACAUGAAUACUUUGCUACAUUUUGUGUUGUUAUAUUUUACUUUUCUAUAAGGGAACAGGCAAGUCCUCUUUGCCCCCUACAACCAACGUUUGUUAUGUGACACUCCUCUCAGUAUUACUGGCUUUCAGAAGCCUGGACAUGGAGGAUCACGC